AGCUGUUCUGAAUCAGAGGAUUGUUUCACUUGUCCAUAGGAAUAGAGGUUUUGAAGGAAAAGAAAAUUUUAAAAACAAAACCAAUUAAAAAAUGCACCUUCUCUUCCCCAAACUCUACCUCAUGGCUGACAUCAUGGGAAGACGCCUCGGUAACAAAGAAUAUUGUUUGGCUUUGUCCUUCACAUUCCAAGCUCUAUCCACUUUCCAGCAACCAUGCACAUUUCAUUUUUUGCCUUUCCCAUUCCAGAUAUUUUCCAAUUUCUCCCAAGGAUUUACCAAGACAUGCUAUAUCAGCUAAUGAUGGUUCUUGGGAAGAUUAUGUCAUAAUGAAGGCGGAGAAUCUGGUCAUCUAUAUAUAUGUGAUCUGACCUGAGCCCUUUCUUUGGGUUUCAUUGAGCAAUGCACUAAUAGAGUCAACGUAGGCAAACAGCUGCCACCCUCACCAUGAAAAUAGAAGGUGCCUCGGUGGUCCUUGCUCUGGCAUUUUUCUGCUUCUUCUCAGAUGCUGCCAGCCAAGCUUCGAUUAAGG